rnacentral:rRNA from 1 species
UGGGCGCUUACCACUUUGUGAUUCAUGACUGGGGUGAAGUCGUAACAAGGUAACCGUAGGGGAACCUGCGGUUGGAUCACCUCCUUACCUUAAAGAA